GUUUUCGUCUCUUUGACACUUUUGUUUUAGUUUAUUACCAUCUCACUUAUAGGUUUUGCCUGCUUUCAUUCUUCCUCCGUUAAUGGGAGAUAAGCGUCUUCAAUCCUUGCUCUGCAUCAUCAAUUAACCGAUUGUCGUUCGUAUCUCACUUCGUCUUUCUCUUACUUUCUAAUUCCUUCUGCGUUUCUUCUUCGUUUCCACUAAUUUUGGGGUUUCAAUUCACGCAAGGGUUUCAGGUCACACAACAACGGAAGCCACUCUCGCAUUCAACAAUCGACUUCGGCCAAUUUCGAUUACGGAGUUGGGUAUGUUAUUUGUAUUUUGUACCUGUCUAUAGUUGUUGCUUUCGUUCUUGGAAGCAGUUGUCCGUUUGGAUUUUGGGUUAGUCGUUUUUUUAUUUUCAAUUUUUGUUGCAACUGUUGUUUGCUUUGUAUUGGCAUAAUGCUUCCCAGUAAGCGUAAGAGGGGCUCCACUUGUGUUGCGACAAGGGCUCGUCGUGACAUAAAACACAUCUUUUUGGGCUAUGAUCUGUCAAUUUCUUUUGAUAUAAAUGACUUACCAGGGGACUAGGUAGUGGAGAAUCGAGGUUAGAGAGAUCAAGUGCUCGUUAGGUUUGGGGUUUAUUGAAGGUUAAUUUGGGGAUUUCCAAAAGGUGAAAGUUUAGAUGUAAAGAACAUCUUGAAUAUAAAACUAGAAUGAAAUGAUGGAAAUCUAACACAAGUAGUUAACAUCUUCUACUUUCUAUGUAUUUUCGUCAUAUUUAUUCUAAACAUUGUUUCUGCACCCCAAACAAUUGUACCAUUUUUUAAUAUUUUCAAAACUAAUGGAGCAUUUGUUUUUUAAUUUAUUGUUUAUGUGAUGAUUCUCAAUUAAGUGAGGAUGAACAGCUUGCAAGAGCAUUACACCAAAGUCUAAAAGUUGAGUUACCACCUAGAAAUAAACAUGUAAAUGGAAAUGAGAAUGGAAAUAGGAAUUAAAAUAUUUUUCAACCUAUACCCUUCCUAUAUUCAACAAGAUUUAGGAAGGUUUAUUUAUUUAUUUCUUGUAAUUUUAUUUUUUUAAAUCCAUUCUACCCUUAUAUACCUUUACAUUUUUUUGCAGGUUUUGCUCAUCACUUUGCCAAAUGCACCAGCAGGUAUGUAUUAGUACUAUCUAGAGUAGUUUAUAUAGGUAUAUUAAUCUACCAAAUAGAAAUUUUAGAUAUUAUGUCCUGAAAAAAAGGUGAAAACUAACAUCCAAGUUUGUUUAAUUUGUUAUGGAGAAUCUUG
rnacentral:lncRNA from 1 species